GACGGAGGAUGCAAGUGUUAUCCGGAAUCACUGGGCGUAAAGCGUCUGUAGGUGGUUUAAUAAGUCAACUGUUAAAUCUUGAGGCUCAACCUCAAAAUCGCAGUCGAAACUAUUAGGCUAGAGUAUAGUAGGGGUAAAGGGAAUUUCCAGUGGAGCGGUGAAAUGCGUAGAGAUUGGAAAGAACACCGAUGGCGAAGGCACUUUACUGGGCUAUUACUAACACUCAGAGACGAAAGCUAGGGUAGCAAAUGAG
rnacentral:rRNA from 1 species